ACUUUUAUAUAAUAAAGUCACUGGAUGAGUUCCUUUACCGACCGAGAAAAUCAGUGAAGACGCGGCCGUCGGAGAAACGCCCGGCCGGCUUUCCGGGGAAGGUGACGCCGUAAGGCACCCUCCACGAGCUCGCCUCCGACUUCUUGUUGUUCCCCGUGUC